rnacentral:rRNA from 1 species
UCGUAACAAAGGUUUUCCGUAGGUGAACCUGCGGAAGGAUCAUUG